UGGAAGACAUGGAGAGAAGAGAGAGGAAGAAGAAGAAAAAGAAAAGAACAACUCCAACAAAAAGCCAUCCUCCCUUUCAUAUUACCUCUUUAUCUUUCUUUAAGGCUUUUAAUCCAUCUUUCAUUGUGUUUGUAAGUCCCUCAUAUAUAAUGAAAUGCAAUGAAAGCAAACCCCAGUGGAUGUAGUCGAUUUGGCGAACCACUUAAAUCUUGUGUUGUUUAUGCAUUUACAUUUGGAGAUCAUUGCCAUGAGAAGCACUUCCACCAAACCAUCGAAAAUCUCCAUUUAUUUCCCUUGAGAAUGAUGUACAAAAAGUGUGAGACAUAUCCCAGAAAAAUACAUAAGACCUUAUCCAACAAAUCUCUCCACCAAACUCACCAUCAUUUUCAUCUGUCAAAAGAAAGAUAUCCAAAAACUAGAAAUUCGUCCAGCCUAUUUAACAGACCAAAACACCAUCAUCCAUAGAUUAUAUCAUAGUACUUUCUUCAUGCAAGUUGUGUGUCUUUCUCUCUACCAUGAUAUAUCCAAAUUUCAGGAAAAUCCAACAGUGCGAUCGUCCGAUAUGUUUGAAAUACCAACUCAGUCUCUAAUCCCGAAGAAAACUGGACAGCCAUCUUAUGAGUACCAAAACCCCAUUUUUCGUAGCUCCAAUCGAAACACUUCCUUCACAAACUUUGUUCCUUAUCAUCUCCUCUAUAAUAUAUCCAAAAACCACGACAAUCCAAUCUAUGUGCUGACUUGUACCCCAGUUCGAACAGCUGAUGUUCGGUUAAGCUAGCCUUCUCUGCCAACCUCUUUGCAUGGCCAACAUCUCCAGUUUCUUUCUCUCCCUUCCAUGGAAGUUUUUCAGCAAUCCGACCCCUACUACAUAUGUAGAAUUUCAGGUAUAUUAAAGAAGAGUAAAGGGAAGUGGUGAAGAGAACAAGAGGGAGGAAAUGCUUACAGGCUUGUUAAAGAAAAUGUGAGUAUUGAUAUCUAUGUGAACGUGACAUAUACAUAUGCAUUGCAAAGCAAGAAAAGAGUUGUGUUGAGUCUUGUAAAGUGUUUGAGUUGUGAGGAUAUUCAAGGGCUAAAGUUUGCCUUGAAUGUAAAAUAAUGAACCUUGUAUAUGUCAAGCGUAGGGUGCAAGGCUUGAGUAUACAUAUUGGUUGAUUAUAAAAAUAAUUAAAUCUUGUAUAUGUCAGGCGUCAGGGGAAGGACUUGAAUAUACAAUUGGGCGUCAAGGGAAGUGUCUGUUUAAUAAAAUGGAAACUAAGAGUUUAAUUACAAAAAUUGGGUUUAAGGGAUGAAUGGGAGUUAACUGAUAUUCUAACGUACUUGGAGCCAAGUGGUAUAAGCAUGAUAUGAGACGCGCAAGCUUGGGUGCCUUAGGUAUGUGUUAGCGAGAAUAGAAGGGGGUGAAUACAUUCAUCCAUCUCAUUUGCAUAUAUUUCAUGCAUUUGAAGAAUUGUUACAAUUUAAUUAUCAUCUAAUUGGUAGUAUUUGUUGUGA